GACGAACCGUGCGAACGUUGUUCGGAUUCACUGGGCUUAAAGGGCGCGUAGGCGGAUGGUCAAGUCGGGGGUGAAAUCUUUCAGCUUAACUGGAAAAGUGCCUCCGAUACUGACUGUCUCGAGGGAGGUAGGGGCAUGUGGAACUUCCGGUGGAGCGGUGAAAUGCGUAGAUAUCGGAAGGAACGCCGGUGGCGAAAGCGACGUGCUGGACCUCUUCUGACGCUGAGGCGCGAAAGCUAGGGGAGCGAACGGG
rnacentral:rRNA from 1 species